rnacentral:tRNA from 2 species
GGGGAAUUAGCUCAGCUGGCUAGAGCGGUUGCAUCGCACGCAACAGGUCAUCGGUUCGACUCCGUUAUUCUCCACGA